GAUGAACGCUGGCGGCGUGCCUAAUACAUGCAAGUCGAGCGAACGGACGAGAAGCUUGCUUCUCUGAUGUUAGCGGCGGACGGGUGAGUAACACGUGGAUAACCUACCUAUAAGACUGGGAUAACUUCGGGAAACCGGAGCUAAUACCGGAUAAUAUUUUGAACCGCAUGGUUCAAAAGUGAAAGACGGUCUUGCUGUCACUUAUAGAUGGAUCCGCGCUGCAUUAGCUAGUUGGUAAGGUAACGGCUUACCAAGGCAACGAUGCAUAGCCGACCUGAGAGGGUGAUCGGCCACACUGGAACUGAGACACGGUCCAGACUCCUACGGGAGGCAGCAGUAGGGAAUCUUCCACAAUGGGCGAAAGCCUGACGGAGCAACGCCGCGUGAGUGAUGAAGGUCUUCGGAUCGUAAAACUCUGUUAUUGGGGAAGAACAUAUGUGUAAGUAACUGUGCACAUCUUGACGGUACCUAAUCAGAAAGCCACGGCUAACUACGUG
rnacentral:rRNA from 1 species